AUUGAACGCUGGCGGCAUGCCUUACACAUGCAAGUCGAACGGCAGCGCGGGGCAACCUGGCGGCGAGUGGCGAACGGGUGAGUAACAUAUCGGAACAUACCCUAGAGUGGGGGAUAACGUAGCGAAAGUUACGCUAAUACCGCAUACGCACUAAGGUGGAAAGUGGGGGAUCUUCGGACCUCAUGCUCAUGGAGUGGCCGAUAUCUGAUUAGCUAGUUGGUGAGGUAAAGGCUCACCAAGGCGACGAUCAGUAGCUGGUUUGAGAGAACGACCAGCCACACUGGAACUGAGACACGGUCCAGACUCCUACGGGAGGCAGCAGUGGGAGUUUUGGACAAUGGGGGCAACCCUGAUCCAGCAAUGCCGCGUGAGUGAAGAAGGCCUCGG
rnacentral:rRNA from 1 species